CAAUAGCGUAUAUUUAAGUUGCUGCAGUUAAAAAGCUCGUAGUUGGAUUUCGGGUGGGAAUGGCCGGUCCGCCGUUUCGGUGUGCACUUGCUACGCCCACCUUGCUGCCGGGGACGUGCUCUUGAGUUCACGCUCGGGACACGGAGUCGGCGAGGUUACUUUGAGUAAAUUAGAGUGUUCAAAGCAGGCCUACGCUCUGAAUACAUUAGCAUGGAAUAACACGAUAGGACUCUGGCCUAUCUUGUUGGUCUGUAGGACCGGAGUAAUGAUUAAGAGGGACAGUCGGGGGCAUUCGUAUUUCAUUGUCAGAGGUGAAAUUCUUGGAUUUAUGAAAGACGAACUACUGCGAAAGCAUUUGCCAAGGAUGUUUCCAUUAA
rnacentral:rRNA from 1 species